UACUCACCUCGGCAGCAGUAUUCUAAAAUUGGAACGAUACAGAGAAGAUUAGCAUGGCCCCUGCACAAGGAUGACAUGUUUUUAAAUUUUUUU
rnacentral:snRNA from 1 species